GUGAACGCUGGCGGCAUGCCUAACACAUGCAAGUCGAUCGGUAAGGCUCUUCGGAGUACACGAGAGGCGGACGGCUGAGUAACGCGUAGGAACACACCCUGCAGUGAGGGAUAAGACACCGAAAGGUGUUCUAAUACCGCAUACGGUCUUCGGAUUAAAGCAUUUAUGCGCUGAAGGAGUGGCCUGCGUCAUAUUAGAUAGUUGGUGAGGUAAUGGCUCACCAAGUCGAUGAUGUGUAGCUGGUCUGAGAGGAUGAUCAGCCAGACUGGAACUGAGACACGGUCCAGACUCCUACGGGAGGCAGCAGUGAGGAAUAUUUCACAAUGAGCGAAAGCUUGAUGGAGCAAUGCCGCGUGCAGGAUGAAGGCCCUCGGGUUGUAAACUGCUUUUAUAAGAGAAGAUUAUGACGGUAACUUAUGAAUAAGGGACGGCUAACUACGUG
rnacentral:rRNA from 1 species